rnacentral:tRNA from 1 species
CGGAGAGUAGCUCAGCCCGGUAGAGCACUGCUUUCGGGAGGCAGGGGCCGGAGGUUCGAAUCCUCUCUCUCCGACCA